AUUGAACGCUGGCGGCAGGCCUAACACAUGCAAGUCGAACGGUAACAGGAAGCAGCUUGCUGCUUUGCUGACGAGUGGCGGACGGGUGAGUAAUGUCUGGGAAACUGCCCGAUGGAGGGGGAUAACUACUGGAAACGGUAGCUAAUACCGCAUAACGUCGCAAGACCAAAGAGGGGGACCUUAGGGCCUCUUGCCAUCGGAUGUGCCCAGAUGGGAGUAGCUAGUAGGUGGGGUAACGGCUCACCUAGGCGACGAUCCCUAGCUGGUCUGAGAGGAUGACCAGCCACACUGGAACUGGGACACGGUCCAGACUCCUACGGGAGGCAGCAGUGGGGAAUAUUGCACAAUGGGCGCAAGCCUGAUGCAGCCAUGCCGCGUGUAUGAAGAAGGCCUUCGGGUUGUAAAGUACUUUCAGCGGGGAGGAAGGGAGUAAAGUUAAUACCUUUGCUCAUUGACGUUACCCGCAGAAGAAGCACCGGCUAACUCCGUG
rnacentral:rRNA from 1 species